rnacentral:tRNA from 1 species
UCAAUAUUGGCAGACCAAUGCAAAAGACUUAGAAUCUUUCUACUCUCUU